UUUCAGAUGAAAGCAGAAUCAAUUUUGCACCUGAACCUGAAAAAAGAGAUCCCAUAUUAAUGAGCGAUAAUGAAGAAGAAGACGCAGAAAUUUACUCUAACCGUGAUGAGGUCAUCAUUGAAGAUUCGUCAAGUGGAGAUGAGUUUUUGCCUCCUCCCAAUCGUAGUUUAAACAAUUCCUCAUUCAAGACUCAAUCUUCUGGGAAAACCAAUUCAACUAGGUUGGCACCAACCACUUCCUAUACCACCCUGUCCUCUGGCUUUCCUGAGACCUCUUUGG